UAGGCUUGUAUGGAAGUCCAUGGAUGAUCCAUGGAUCUUUUAACCCAUGGAUCCUUGGAAAAGGAAAGGUCAUGGGUUAUUAGGGUUUCACCCUAAUCAUGUACACUAUAUAAGCAUGCUUAUGUUGCAUGAAAUAACCACUAGUGUGUGUGCUUGUGUGUGGCUGAUUUUCUAUGUGUGUAUACACUCUCUCAAAGUUUUCCAAGUGUUUGUGGUGAUUUUUGAUUCCAUUUGAGGCAUUCACACUAUUGGUGCUUGGCUCUCAAACUCCAAACAAUCAACCAUCAUCAAAAGGUAUGUAUUUCUACUAGUACUUUUAUGAUUCAUAAUCCUUAUGCUAUGCUAGUUAGGAAGAAACCUUGGAAAUUAUUAUUUGCAUGUAUUUUAGAAGAAAACAUAGAUCCAAGGUUUAUUAGGGUUGCAUGCACACUUAGGAAGUGUUAGAUUGCUCAAAACCCAACAGUGGUAUCAGAGCCUAGGCUUGCUUGUUUGAUACUUGAUGCAAAAUAGUGAAAAAAGUUGAAAUUGUUGCUGUCUGGCUGAUGGACUCGCCGAGUCCAUGGGGGGACUCGCCGAGUUCAAGGCAAAAUUCAUCCUACUCGGCGAGUAGGUUCGUGCACUCGGCGAGUAGAAUGAUCAGAAUGCAGAAUUUCGACUUUUGCUGCUGGAAAUGGACUAGAAACAUUACCCUAAACUGUUUUGGUGUUUUAAAACUUGUUUUAGUUGGUGUAAUGGUUGUUCUAAUCCAUUUACAAUAGCAUAUAUCAAAAUUCCAUGAUUUUUAUGUGUUCAUAUAAUUCUUGAAAUUUUGAUGAUCAUGUUCAUGUUCUUAUGAAUUUAGAAGAUGAUAGGAAUUAUUUGCUGAAUUGUUUAGAAUUAAUUCUUGAUCAUUUAUGUGUUUUAAUGGAGUCCAUAAUUUGUCCUCAAGUUAUGGAUAUCCAAAGGUCACUUUUCUUUAACACACACAUUUAAACACAUAAGUUACAUGAAAAUGAAGAGUCUUCAUUUUUAUGAACCUUUAAUUCAUAAGUUAUGAAAUGAAAAGUUUUGGAUAGUUACAAAACUUGCCCUCAAGUUUUGGAAUUUGAAAAGUUUCACACACUUUAAUAAACUUUAAUUCCAACACUUAGAGUUUUAAAAGUUAAAAUUCAACACUUAUACUAUUUAUAACAUUAAUGGUUAAUUAUUAUAUAUAUGUAUAAGAACAAGUCGUUUUACCGUUAGUAGGCCUCAUUCACGAAGCCGGUCUAUAAGGUGGGUAUAAGGUUGUUGCCUAUAAAAUGGCGACUUAAUGGGUGUCCACUCUCACCCACCGCUUGCUUGAUCGGUGGAGGGUCGUUAGCCGAACGGGUAGGACAAUGACUUUAAAUUCUCAUUAAAAGUAUAAUGAUUAUUAUAAAGUAACUAAAAAUUUUUUAUUUAAUUCCCAAUCUUAGUUACUUUAGGAAAAAUGUGAAUUUGGUGCUAGCCCAUGGAAUUCACACUUUGUACCUUACCAAGUCGUUGGUGGAGCGUGUGUGGUUAACCGGCACACUAACUUGGACUAGUAAGGAUCACGAAGGGUGACUUAAUGUUUGUCAUAGAUCAAUGGAGCGUGUGUGGUUAACCGGCACAUUGAUUAGGUGAUAAUAUUAAGGGUACCAAGUGAAUUGGUAUGGUUAUUCACACCUUGUUUUGUGAUCCUCGGCAUCCCAGUCACAAAAUUUGAGAGGGCACACUCGAGAUUGAAACAUGCCAUUGAAAAGUUCAAUGAAUCUCAAAAGAUCUAGGAAUUUCAAAUCCAAUUAAAACCUAAUAAAUUAUUUCGUUUUUCAUGGUGGAAAUUGGUGAAUCGUCAUUCGCCUACCUUCAAAUAUUUUAUAGCUUGGAUUACGGCAUCCCUCUUCCAAAUUAUAAAAUAUUGUGUUGGGUCCUAGCCUUAAUAUUUCAUAUUGGGUGUUAUAUUAAGGACUUUGAAUCAACUAACUUGAUUUUCUCCCAUUAUAGAUGUCUGGUUCAGACAACUAUGAUCUUCCCAAAUCUCUUGAAGAUGGUGUCCCUCAACAUCAUGCUUCACUUCCUCCACCUCCUCCAAUUAUUCUCCCUCACCCACAAGUUCUUGAAAAGUUUAAAGUCACUCAAUCCCUAUUGGCAAGCAUAGUCUAUGUGUGCUCACAUCUUGGAGAUAAAGUCACAUAUUGACAAGCCGGGAGAGUUGGGUGUCAAAGUCUCGUGAAAGUUGGAUGUUCAAUCACUUUCUUAGUAACAUAGUGAGUCUCUUUGGGACUACUAUGAGACAGACUAUGACAUGACCCUUAAUGAUGUUAUCUAUUUGCUUGGUGUUGUGGAAUCAGCAAUGAUUUGGAACACCAGUAAAGCAAAUUUGAUUAAAAGAACAACUUCCCAAGUCUUAAAUGGACAUUGACAAUGGUAGCAUUGGAUAUCUAGAAAAGGAUUUCUCUUCCCAAUGGAAAGGGAUCGGCCAUAGUCAACUCGGUUGACCAAAUGGUAAAGAGAAAGGCUAAGUCUGAGAUAGUCUCAUGUGCCAUUACCAAAGGGUCCAUGUGUUUUGUUGCCAAAGGAAGGGGCAUUGGUUGCGAAGCUGCCCUAUUCACCUGAAAGGUCAUAAGGUUGAUCAAGUCAAGAGGUUUGACUCUACUUCGGGUAAAGUCCACUGUCUAACUCUAUUAAGUUCCUAUUUGGAGAUUCUUAUUACAUAAUGUGAAUGGGUCACAUGCUGAUGUUUUUAAGAAUCAAAGAAAAGAUAGGAAGCUUAAAGUAAGUAUAUGUUGAUUCUGAUUGCGAAGGUGGGUUUCGAUCGCAUGGUUCGGUAAUCAGAAUUUUGAGCUGUUGCUUAAGAGUUAUAAUAUAUUGCUUAUGAAUAGAUAACAACAAGGUUUUCAUGUGGAUUGUAAGGAUAAGUUUUUCCGCAAAGUUUUAAAAAAAAAAAAAAAAAGGGUUUUAAUUUUAUUUAUUUUAAAAAUAUCCUUACAAUGGCAUCUGUGGAAAAUUGUUGCUUAUAUGUUUCCAGUAAUAGCAAUAUUGGAAAGUGGAUUUGAUUCUUUCAUUUGUGGUAGUGUCUGAAUUUACCAAAUGAAGAAAGUUUUUCAUCACCCAAGUUUCAAUUGGACAGAAACUUGGAAUCAUACAAGUUGUAUUGUAUGAUGAAUGAGAAUUUUCAUCUUUGAAAAUUAAGACUAAUUCUUUGAUCACAUGUAUAUGUGAGUCAAUUGAAGGACUAAGGAAUUAGGUACACUGGGUGUGCGCUGGUCAAGGUCCACCACAAAGAUUGAUUUGUCAUGAUUUACUAAAGAUUAGUAAAUAUGAUUAUACUUAUGAGGUUAAGUAUAAUUCUGUAACAUUGGAAAGGUUACAAUGUAUGACAAAACAAAUGAGAAGAAUCAAAUUAGGCAGAAAGAUAAAAGUUUCUCAAAUCUGAAAGGAUGGGAGAGUACUUUAGUAUCGUAUUUCAUGAUCAUCUUAAUGAUUAUGAAACCAUAUCACAAAUUCAUACUCUAAGGACGUCUUAGUGCAUUGUUAUGGCUAAGAAGAGAGGUCAUGAAUUGUUGGAUUGGUUAAAAUCAAGAAGAUGAGUCAUACUUCGUUCCAAAACAAUUCUUAGAGUCAUACUCCAAGAUUGUAACUUUGAGUGACAUAAAGGAAGAUUUAUUAACACUAGUCAAAUGUAAGAGUAAAAUGUUUUCUACUCUUGUACAUUUGAGAUUGGUAAGUUGUGAUGUCUUGGAUGAGACAAAGACCAACUAAGACCAAUUGUGUGAAGUGUUAGUCUUGAUAAGAAUCCGCACUAUCCCUUGAAUAUUUGUUUUGUCAAGGAAUGGUUCUUGACUGGGGAAACUUAUAUGUCAAGGGGACAGUGGGAGCCUUAAAGAUCCUGAAAGAGUUUCAAGAUUUAAUCAAGAGUAAAACCUGUAAUUUAUCACUAGCACACGACUUAAGGUUUGCAACCUAUCGUGUUGACAUAAUUCUUAUUUCUGUACCUACUUCAAAUAAGUUGAAUUUGCAUGUGAGUUAUCAGAGUUCAACUUGGAAGCAUUGGUGGGCCUUGUGCUACCAAGGUGACAAGAAACUAAGAUUGAACAAGUUUAAUCCAUGUAAGGCUGAAUUUGUCACUAACCUUAUCUUGUGAUUAUGGUUUUGACAAAUUCACAUGGAUAGGAACUCAUACACUAUAAAAUCUAAGUGUCAUAAGGUUUCUCUCCGAUUCAUGAAAAUGAUGGUGAGGAAACGCUUUCACUAAGUAGAUUUUACGUAGAUAUCAAUUGUGUUAUUUGCAUUUUCAAAAGUCAUUAGUGGAGCGCGUGUGGUUAACCGGCACACUAACAUGGACUUGUGAGAAAUGGCAAAUGCCUAAGCAAUUGAGACUAUGAUUACGGCAUCCCUUUUCAUAGUUCUGAAAAUUGUUUAGACACACAUGUGAGCUAUCUAAGAAAGGGUGUAUGAAUCUAAAUUUCAGAAGUCCAGCAGAUUUCUGGAAAUAUGUCAGAGCUAGUGGGAGCAUAAGUGUUAUGCUGAUAAUCAUCAUGUUAGUGGGAGCAUGAUUAUUACGUUUAGUGUUGCAAGUUAGCAAUGUUAAUUAUAGAAAACAAAGUUUCAAUUCGUGAAGUUGCAGGGGUUGAAAAGUUGUUUUGCUAUAAUUAAGGGAGAGGAAAUUAUACUUCAUUUCAAUUCUAAAGCUUAGAUUGAGAUUUUAAUCAUCUUUAGUCAAGAAUAUAUAUAUGAAUUUUAUGUUGGAAUGGUUCAACUUGAAGAAAUUCUAUAUAUAUUGCGUUUUCAAAAUUCGAUUAUGAUUACGGCAUCCCUCUUCAUAGUUAAAUUUUGAAAACAUGGCAAAUAAAAAAUAUUGUAGCAAAAGACUGGUCUAGUAUCAUGUCUUUAUGUCAAACAUCAUGAAUCGUGUCCCAUAUGCUUCGGAUAUAGGAUCGAUUGCAUGUGCUAUAAUAUUCAUCUUUUCUAAAUUUUCCAAAUGCUUAAGGCAUUGAGAAGGGAAAAGUCUAGAACUGGAUAUGACUAAAGUGAUUAAGCAAUUGUCGAGGACAAUCUGAGGUUCGCCAAAGAUUGGUUGCUCAGGGAAAGUUGGAAGUAUGAUGUAAGUUGUCGGAAAGGACCAUAUUGACAUAUUCUGAAAAGAAGUAACUCUUGUUCGGAAGUGAUAGUCAAAAUGGGACUAUGGAAAUGUCUCCAUAGGUGGAAGUUAUUCAAUCUAUGUAAGAUUAGAAAACCUUAAUGCAAGAAGGAUGUUCAAAGCAAUGUACUUUGAAUAUGAGACUUCCGUUCCAUAGAAGUUGACCUUCUUUGGAAUACUCUGUAAUGACUGGUGACAAGGUUUUGGUGACUUUGUGCAUAAUCAUUACAAGAGGAACAUUGCAUAAAAGUUUAAAAUCUAACAGUUUUUUUGGUAAAUGAUAGGAAUCGGGGAUUCUCACAUUUACAAUAAGGAUUUGGGAUUGUGAAAUGAGUAUCAUUGGAAUCAUGUUCAAUUGAUCUACAUCACAAUGUAAGGAUCAUAGACAAACAUAGUGUGCAUACUUGGAGUAUGGCAUAACUAUUGUUUAGAAAAACAAAGUGUACAUGCUAGGAGCAUGGGACGACUGUUGUUUUUAUUCAAGUCUUAAGUUGAUUGUUUGAAACAUUAUACAAUGAAUAAUGUGUAAUCAAUAUGGUGAUAAAUAAAAGGUGGUUCUAUUUAUAUUCAAAAGGGUUCUGAGACCAUAUUGGAUUCGAUUAUUAUUGUGUUUCACUUUGCAUGUUUUGACUUCCAAAAUAGCUAGGUUAUUCUUUCCGAAUGACUAAGUUAUUUAAACACUCCACAGUCGUUCAUAUGUUGGAAGUAGGUAUGAAUCAAGACUGUCAUGAAUCGAGUUUGUAGAUGGCUAAAUGGGUUUAGUCAUAGCAAUGGUUGCUACAACAUUCAUGAGUGCUCAUAAGUUAUGAGUAUUGGAAUAAACCCACGCUCACUUGUAUCACUUCAUGGAAUUUAUCUCGAGUGAUCGUGAGACGGUAAUAUCAUAUAAAUCUUCAAACCUAGAGAUAUGAGUUGUUACCUAUGAGUUGGUUGUGCAUUGAUUGCACGUAAACGCAUCAGUAACUUGAUGUUAUAAAACGUGCCUUUGUGUACAAUUCAACAAGUAGUAGAACAAGCAUAUGAGUCGAAGUUUAUCUGUUCCUUCUAGAAAUAGAAGCGAUAUCUGGGCCCCUCGAUGAUUUUGUUGUGACCUAUGUACCGGCCGGUCAGAACUAAAUUGAUGUGUUCGAUUAAGUUCUUUGUCAAACAAAUUGAAAAUCGGGAAACAAACUGCUGGACAAUAAGUACGACGUUGUUCCAUGUAUUUGUCCGGCUGAUAUCAUGAGAACAGAGGAUUAUAUGAUCACUUAUCUAAAAUGGCGCUUCAUAGUUCAACAGAGUUUUCGAGAGCUACGAUUGCUGGUUGGUUCCUGAAGUAACAUACGCAAAUAUAGUUAUUAGACUUAUCCAAGUGGGAGUCUGUUGGAUAAGGUGUCUAAGUCCAUAACUUAUUUGGUAUAUACUUGACCCGACCCGGCAUGGUCCAUUUGGGUUGCACUUCACCCGAACUAUUUAUGGAUAAUUUUAUGAGAGUUAUACACAUAUGUUUAUUAAUAUAUUAUAAGUUAUAAUAUAUUAAUAUGAAGUCAUGUUAUUUAAUUAGUCUUAGUCUUAAAUUAAUUAUGAAUUAAUUUAGAGAUUAAAAGGAAGACUAAUUAGAUUGUGGGCUAUUGGUUUUAUAUAGUGUGGGCUAACACUCAUUUGUUAAUGGGCUAGGCUUGUAUGGAAGUCCAUGGAUUAUCCAUGGAGCUUUUAACCCAUGGAUCCUUGGAAAAGGAAAGGUCAUGGGUUAUUAAGGUUUCACCCUAAUCAUGUACACUAUGUAAGCAUGCUUAUGUUGCAUGAAAUAGCCACUAGUGUGUGUGCUUGUGUGUGGCCGAUUUUCUAUGUGUGUAUACACUCUCUCAAAGUUUUCCAAGUGUUUGUGAUGAUUUGUGAUUCCAUUUGAGGAAUUCACACUAUUGGUGCUUGGCUCUCAAACUCCAAACAAUCAACCAUCAUCAAAAGGUAUGUAUUUCUACUAGUACUUUUAUGAUUCAUAAUCCUUAUGCUAUGCUAGUUAGGAAGAAACCUUGGAAAUU
rnacentral:lncRNA from 1 species